rnacentral:rRNA from 1 species
UCGACCGCCUGGGGAGUACGGCCGCAAGGUUAAAACUCAAAUGAAUUGACGGGGGCCCGCACAAGCGGUGGAGCAUGUGGUUUAAUUCGAUGCAACGCGAAGAACCUUACCUGGUCUUGACAUCCACAGAACUUUCCAGAGAUGGAUUGGUGCCUUCGGGAACUGUGAGACAGGUGCUGCAUGGCUGUCGUCAGCUCGUGUUGUGAAAUGUUGGGUUAAGUCCCGCAACGAGCGCAACCCUUAUCCUUUGUUGCCAGCGGUUCGGCCGGGAACUCAAAGGAGACUGCCAGUGAUAAACUGGAGGAAGGUGGGGAUGACGUCAAGUCAUCAUGGCCCUUACGACCAGGGCUACACACGUGCUACAAUGGCAUAUACAAAGAGAAGCGACCUCGCGAGAGCAAGCGGACCUCAUAAAGUAUGUCGUAGUCCGGAUUGGAGUCUGCAACUCGACUCCAUGAAGUCGGAAUCGCUAGUAAUCGUAGAUCAGAAUGCUACGGUGAAUACGUUCCCGGGCCUUGUACACACCGCCCGUCACACCAUGGGAGUGGGUUGCAAAAGAAGUAGGUAGCUUAACCUUCGGGAGGGCGCUUACCACUUUGUGAUUCAUGACUGGGGUGAAGUCGUAACAAGGUAACCGUAGGGGAACCUGCGGU